rnacentral:rRNA from 1 species
CCUACGGGAGGCAGCAGUGAGGAAUAUUGGUCAAUGGACGGAAGCCUGAACCAGCCACGCCGCGUGCAGGAAGACGGCUCUAUGAGUUGUAAACUGCUUUUGUACAAGGGUAAACCUGAAUACGUGUAUUCAGCUGAAAGUACUGUACGAAUAAGGAUCGGAUAACUCCGUGCCAGCAGCCGCGGUAAUACGGAGGAUCCAAGCGUUAUCCGGAUUUAUUGGGUUUAAAGGGUGCGUAGGCGGGUUGUUAAGUUAGAGGUGAACUGCCCGAGCUUAACUCGCGAACUGCCUCGGAUACUGUUGAUCUAGAGAGUAGAUGCGGUAGGCGGAAUGUAUGGUGUAGCGGUGAAAUGCUUAGAGAUCAUGCAGAACACCGAUGGCGAAGGCAGCUUACCAAUCUAUAUCUGACGUUGAGGCACGAAAGCGUGGGGAGCAAACAGGAUUAGAUACCCUUGUAGUC